AAGAUCAUAGAGGUAAAGUUGU
rnacentral:miRNA from 1 species